UGCAAGUCGAACGCGAAAGUGCAGCAAUCCAUGAGUAGAGUGGCAAACGGGUGAGUAACGCGUGGGUGACCUGCCUUCGAGCGGGGGAUAACGUUUCGAAAGGAACGCUAAUACCGCAUGACAUCCUGCCUUUGAAGAGGUGGAGAUCAAAGCUGGGGAUCGCAAGACCUAGCACUUGAAGAGGGGCCCGCGUCUGAUUAGCUAGUUGGUGAGGUAACGGCUCACCAAGGCGACGAUCAGUAUCCGGCCUGAGAGGGCGGACGGACACACUGGGACUGAGACACGGCCCAGACUCCUACGGGAGGCAGCAGUGGGGAAUUGUUCGCAAUGGGCGCAAGCCUGACGACGCAACGCCGCGUGGAGGAUGAAGACCUUCGGGUCGUAAACUCCUUUCGAUCGAGACGAAAGACUUCCGGGUGAACAAUCCGGAAGAGUGACGGUACCGAGAGAAGAAGCCCCGGCUAACUCCGUGCCAGCAGCCGCGGUAAUACGGGGGGGGCAAGCGUUGUUCGGAAUUACUGGGCGUAAAGGGCUCGUAGGCGGCCAACUAAGUCGGACGUGAAAUCCCUCGGCUUAACCGGGGAACUGCGUCCGAUACUGGAUGGCUUGAGGUUGGGAGAGGGAUGCGGAAUUCCAGGUGUAGCGGUGAAAUGCGUAGAUAUCUGGAGGAACACCGGUGGCGAAGGCGGCAUCCUGGACCAAUUCUGACGCUGAGUGAGCGAAAGCCAGGGGAGCAAACGGGAUUAGAUACCCCGGUAGUCCUGGCCCUAAACGAUGAAUGCUUGGUGUGGCGGGUAUCGAUCCCUGCCGUGCCGAAGCUAACGCAUUAAGCAUUCCGCCUGGGGAGUACGGUCGCAAGGCUG
rnacentral:rRNA from 1 species